rnacentral:misc_RNA from 1 species
AAGUCGUAACAAGGUUUCCGUAGGUGAACCUGCGGAAGGAUCAUUAUCGAGAGAGGGGCUUCGCGCUCCCGGGGGUUUCGGCCCCCCAAUCUUCACCCAUUGUCAAUUUACCCUUGUUGCUUUGGCGGAUCCGGGUAUUCUUGGUAAGUUUGUCAUAAACCCGUGCGAGAUGUGCCCCGGCGCCCGCCGGAGGGCCCCAAUUAAAAUCUGUUUAUCAGUGUGUCCGAGUAAAAACCAAUAAUAAAA